UUUGAUCCCCCUGUGUACGAAAUAGCGUGUUUUAAAAUUGACCAUUUGAUGGUAUAAUCCUGAUUGUUUUCUUUUAAUUUCCAAAUAUGUUUCGAAAUUAAAAGAAAACAAUCAGGAUUAUACCAUCAAAUGGUCAAUUUUAAAACACGCUAUUUCGUAC